rnacentral:rRNA from 1 species
CAGUAGCCGCGGUAAUACGUAGGUGGCAAGCGUUGUCCGGAAUUAUUGGGCGUAAAGGGCUCGCAGGCGGUUUCUUAAGUCUGAUGUGAAAGCCCCCGGCUCAACCGGGGAGGGUCAUUGGAAACUGGGAAACUUGAGUGCAGAAGAGGAGAGUGGAAUUCCACGUGUAGCGGUGAAAUGCGUAGAGAUGUAGAGGAACACCAGUGGCGAAGGCGACUCUCUGGUCUGUAACUGACGCUGAGGAGCGAAAGCGUGGGGAGCGAACAGGAUUAGAUACCCCUGUAGUCCCUGUCUCUUAUAC